rnacentral:lncRNA from 1 species
GCCAUCACUGUCUUAUAAGCUCAUAAAGACAAAACUAUCUCAACCUUAAUCUGUGAUAUGAAUAUCAAUAGAAGAGGGACAAUCUCAACCUCAUUUAAGAGAGAACAAUAUCAUUUGCAAUAUCAUUUAUUGCAUAUCCAUAUCAAUCACAAUAUUAACUUCAAGAAAUGAAGUGAUAUUAGCAGGGUAAUAACCAUGCAUAAUAUCAACUUCAACAAAUGAAGUGAUAUCAGGUAAUAACCAUGUCAUGCAUUUAGCUGUGAGACUCUUAAAACUUCUCCAUUAUAAAUUAAUCAUUAGCCUUAAUGAGCAGCAUUUCAUUUUGUUAAAACAUUUCUAUAUCCAUUCUUUCAAAAUCAUCCUCCAUUUUCCAUUCAAAUGAGUACUUUAAAAUUCAUUUCCAACUAUUAUAAAACAUUUAACAUUCGCUCUUUAUUAUUUUGUGUAAACAUUUAACUAUAACUUUAGCAUUUGCUUUCUUUAUAAUCAAUUCACAAUUGCAAUAAUCACAUUUGAAUUCAAUUUCAUUUGAUAUAAAUAUUUGAUAAAUAAAUCAACUUUUUCUAUUGUAAAAUUUCAUUUGAUAUAAACAUUUGCUUUCUUUACCUUGUAACUUUUCAUAAAAUAUUUUUUAAAACUAUUUUACUUAUCACUUAAA